UCUCACAGUCAAAUUCUAAGUCCUUACUUCCUAAAUUGCUACCUACUGUAGGAGGGAGAGGAAACAAAAGCUGGACUACAAAAUUGGUUUCUGGGAAAUUAUUGCCUCUGCCAAACAGGAACGCACCUUAGAGGCUAUGUUUGGUUUGGAAAGCACACUGGACCUUGGAGCGGGGAGGAUAACCUGAUGAGGAAUAAGAUGGGGGAAGGCACGGGAGAUAAAGCUAGUCAGCAAUGUGGCCAGAAGUUGGACACACUGAGAGUUAACAUGCUGCACAAAAGUGAAGAUGUGAGAGAUUUUUUUGAAGGAUUGAUUGCAGACCAAGAUAACUGCUAGGAAAGAAACAAAGGAGAAUAUAAUUUCCCUGACCUAGCUAUUUUUUUUUAUCUUGAAGGACUGUACAUUCCCAAUGCUGAUAGAACUCUGAAUUCCAUGAAUAAAUAAAUAAAACUAUUUACCACAUA